GAGUUUGAUCGUGGCUCAGGAUGAACGCUGGCGGCGUGCCUAAUACAUGCAAGUCGAGCGAACGGACGAGAAGCUUUGCUUCUCUGAUGUUAGCGGCGGACGGGUGAGUAACACGUGGAUAACCUACCUAUAAGACUGGGAUAACUUCGGGAAACCGGAGCUAAUACCGGAUGAUAUUUUGAACCGCAUGGUUCAAAAAGUGAAAGACGGUCUUGCUGUCACUUAUAGAUGGAUCCGCGUUGCAUUAGCUAGUUGGUAAGGUAACGGCUUACCAAGGCAACGAUGCAUAGCCGACCUGAGAGGGUGAUCGGCCACACUGGAACUGAGACACGGUCCAGACUCCUACGGGAGGCAGCAGUAGGGAAUCUUCCGCAAUGGGCAAAGCCUGACGGAGCAACGCCGCGUGAGUGAUGAAGGUC
rnacentral:rRNA from 1 species